ACAGUAAAAGUGGAGAGUCUAGGUGCAAGAGUGAGAGCAAAUCAAAGUAGAACCGCCUGUCGAGUCUCGUGCCAUGCAUUGCUAACCUGCUUUCGAAGAGAGAGAUCAUGUCCCUCGCGAAUAUGGAUAGUUGGGAUGCCGAGCCUUCCGACGUCGGGCUGGUCAACAAUGUGUCUAUUAUUAAAAACAAAUGGGAAGGUGAAGACGUCGAGGAGGAUGUCGUUGACAGUUGGGAUCAAGAAGUCGAGGAGGAAAAGGAAGAAAUCAUCAAGCCCGAAACCCCGCCGGCGAAAAAAAAGAAUUCGAAAAAAUUAGGAGAGAAACUUGAAGAAAAAGAGAAAAAGAAGAAGCAAGUUGUAAAAGAGCCUGAAGAAGAAGAAGUACAGUUGACCCGAGAAGAAAUUCUUGCUGAAAAACUCAAGCGGCAGAAAUUACAGGAAGAAUCUGACCUUAACAUAGCUAAAGAAGUUUUUGGUGUAUUACCAAGUGGUAUAGAAUCGAAAGAAGAUUAUGAUAAAUUGAAGGAAAAAGUCUUACAAUUAGUAUCUGAGGGUGUUAAAAACUUGAAUUUUGUCAACUUUACAGAAGAAAUAAUACAUAGUUUAUGUCUACAUUUAUCUUCAGCAGAUUUGAAAAAAGUUCAUACGUGGAUAGGAAACUUGCACAUAGAAAAAACAAAAAUAGAAAAAGGUGAAAAAUCAAAAAAGUCGAAAGGCAAAGGGAAAGCAAAAUUGAAGUUAGAAGGGGAUAACGAUUAUGGUGAAUACUCCGCAUUCUCGGCAGACUUUGAAGAUUUUAUAUAACUAAAAACUGGUGUAGUGUUAUUUAAUUAUCGCAGGCAUGCAUCGUGGAUUUAUCAAAGAAGUUGCUCAUAAUUGGCAAGUUUAUAAAACAUGUACAUUAGAGUGUAAAUAUUUAAAAUACAGUGUAUAUAAUUACUACAGGAAUUAUAAUGUAAUGUUGUAUACAUAUGCCGAUUAUUGGCUUGUCGAUAUAAUUCAACUUUUAUUUCUUAUCGGCACAGUGUUGAAUUCUGUAAUAAUAUCGUUAUUAGUUAAUAGAAAACAAUUUUUAUAUUUAUGUAUAACCAAGAAAAUCGAAAUAUCUUUAAAUAGUUACAUAUUACUUUUUUGUUCUAUAUUUCACAACCAAAAUUUUAAUUUAAGUGGUGAUAAAUAAUAAAUAAUUGUGUGGCUUUGUUGAAUUGCCCACUUUUCAUGAAUGGUAUAGCUAAAGCUAUCCUGUGUUAAAAAUGUAUAUAAAGCGAUUAACAAACACUAAGAGACAAAUAAUAUAUGUUUCAUACCAUUAGAGUAAAGGCGAUCUGUUAGUUUUAAAAAUCAUUUUUGAAUCACUUAUAAAAUUUCCCAUAUGACAUAAACAUAUUGACGAUUCAGUUUGUGGAAUUUGUGAACAAAUUGUAUUUGAGUAUAGAUUGAAUUAGAGAAAUAAUUUAUUAUACAUUUACAUGUUAAAAAGGAAAGUGGAUUUUACUAUAUAUUAGUUAAAAUUGCCUUAAAAAAUAAAGUACUAAUUUAGGGAUAUAUAAAAAAUUUAUCAGUGACACCAAUAAUUGUAAUACCUCAUGAAUAUGUUUAUCUUUUAAACGAUGUAACUAUUUUGCAGUUUAAAGAAAGAUUCAUCUACUUGUUAACAUGAACUUGAGAAUGCAGAAUUCUAGAAUGUUUCAAUUAUUUACUAUCAAAAAAAAUUUGAUCAGAAUUUCACAGUCAUUCCGUUACUAUGUUGUUCAUUAUUCGUUUGAAAAUCGGAUAAAGCCUUAUUGUAGUAAUAUCAAUUUGUUAAAAGGAACACGCAUGUCAGGUUAUGUACUGGUUUGCAGCAUGUACCUUUCAUCAGCACACAAUUAUGCCUUAUCUCUGUUAAUUGAUAUCGCUGACUUCUUUAUCAGUUUCAAAUAAAUGAUAGGAUAUUGUGCCUUGAAUGUAGAUUUUGAAGAUGAUAAAAAAAUUUCAUAAUGGUGUAAAUUAUUCUUAUUUAUUUUUGCAAUUCAUUCAUAAUUGUAAAAUUUAGAAUGAAAUUUGGUAAUUCUAUAUUCAAUAAUAAUUGUCACAAUAAUCAUUUUUAAUCAAUAUAAUUUAUAAUGUAAUCAUGUGAUGUUAUCAAUUAUUUUGUUCAAUUGAAAAUCAUUGAAAAGGAUUCAAUUAAAAACAUUUAUUUAAUUUUUUUAACUUUAAUUUUAAAAUUGCGGGCUGUCUAGACUUACUAUCUUAUUUAUCAAAUAUGCAAUGGAUUUUUGACAUAGCUGUGAUUCGAUUUAAUGUCAGUUCUAACAGAUUUUUGUUUAAUCUGUAUACUUAGCUCAAAAUUUGUUGUUUAUAUCAAAGAUAAGUAAACGAACAGAAGUUAUGCUUGAAAAGAAUCCUGCUUGAGUCAAAAAUUCCUUGGUCUUGAAAUGUGAAAUAUCAUUAAUCGAAGCAUUUCAUUUUUUUUUUUUUUUUUAACUAGAAGUGAAAAUUAAUUUAUUUAAGUUUUAAUUGUUUUAUCGAUUAUCGUUAAGAAAUUAAGUUCAUAGGGUCUUUUUUUGUUGUAACAAAAUGUUUUACUGUAUAUUAAGUUUACAUAAGAUGGAGUAAGGUAUAAUUAUAAAUAAAAUAAAAUGAUAUUUUUAAUACAAUGGUAAAUGAUCAAUAUUCAUAUUUCCUCUUCUGGUAUAAAGAGAAUAAUUCUGUACUAAUACAUACAACAAUAAUUGACUGAAAUCAAGCCUUGAGAUAAACAUCUUUUAUACAACAAAAUGCUUGGCCGUUUUAACAGUACAAAAUUCAUUAAACUGUCUUAAAUACAGGUUUUUAAAUUAAUUGUGAAUUUGACUGUUUUUAU
rnacentral:misc_RNA from 1 species